rnacentral:lncRNA from 1 species
CACUGUGAGAAUUUAAUAAUUGAUCUUCAGCAAGAGGUGCUAGAAUGGCGAGAAAGGCUUGCUGUAGCUGUUGCCAUUGAUGCAGAGAAAACCGCGCUAUUGGGAAACUUGAAACAACAUGGAGGCGCACUGUAGAGCAUUGGCGGCAGUUAGAAGAUCAGCGGCAUAAUUUGGCUGUUGCCUUGCAACCUCAAAAGAGGAAAGAAGAGAAGAAUCUCUGAACUCAACAAGAAAUUAAGGCGAUAUGAGCUAGAACUUUCUCAAGCUUUAGAUUUAGCGGCAGGCUACAAACUGAAAGCUGAUGUGGCAGAGAAAGAGCGAGCUUCAAUAAUGGCUGUUGCAGACAAGAAAAAUUUUGAAUUAAGUGACAAACUGAAGGACAUAGAAGAGUCAAACAGGAAUACUCAAUCAAAAUUGUUGGAAAGUGAGGACAAGAUUCAACUGCUCCAAGACAAACUGUCAUGGAUGGAGCAAAACUACUCUGAGGAAAAUAAAUUAUUACAAGAAAGUCAAGAACGGCUAGGCCAACUUGAAGCAGAAUUGUCUUUGGCUGUCGCCGAAAAAGCCAAACUGCUCUCUAAGCUGAAGGAAGAAAAUCAGUUGGUUGCAAAUUUGAAGAGACAAAUGGAGGAUUUGACAGCAACUAUUGAAGAAAAAAACAAAAUGAGGUAA